AGGCAGCCCUCUUGCGAAUGAAAAUCGAUGGCAAGGGAGGUGUUGUUCUGCUCGGAAAUCAAUCUUCUGCUCUUCAGAUUUGCUGAGAUGGGUUUUUACAGUCCAUCUCUGAAGCUGGUCUAGUAAGCUCAAGCACAUU
rnacentral:snoRNA from 1 species